AGAGUUUGAUCCUGGCUCAGAAUGAACGCUGGCGGCGUGCUUAACACAUGCAAGUCGCACGAGAACUCUUUAGCUUGCUAAAGAUAGUAAAGUGGCGCACGGGUGAGUAACACGUGGGUAAUCUACCUCUGAAUCGGGGAUAACACUGCGAAAGCAAUGCUAAUACCGGAUAAUAUCUUUUGAGCUUUGGCUUAUCAGAUUAAAGGCGGCCUCUACAUAUAAGCUACUGUUUGGAGAUGGGCCCGCGCACCAUUAGCUUGUUGGCGGGGUAAUGGCCCACCAAGGCAUCGAUGGUUAGCUGGUCUGAGAGGAUGAUCAGCCACACUGGAACUGACACACGGUCCAGACUCCUACGGGAGGCAGCAGUGAGGAAUUUUGCGCAAUGGGGGAAACCCUGACGCAGCAACGCCGCGUGAGUGAUGAAGGCCCUUGGGUCGUAAAGCUCUGUCAAGUGGGAAGAACCUGCUUUAUGCUAAUACCAUAUUGCACUGACGGUACCACUGAAGGAAGCACCGGCUAACUCCGUGCCAGCAGCCGCGGUAAUACGGAGGGUGUAAGCGUUAUUCGGAAUUAUUGGGCGUAAGAGCGCGUAGGCGGCCUUUUAAGUCAGAUGUGAAAGCCCGAGGCUUANCCUCNGAAGUGCAUUUGAAACUAAGAGGCUUGAGUAUGGGAGAGGGAAGUGGAAUUCCUGG
rnacentral:rRNA from 1 species